UGGGGAAUAUUGCACAAUGGGCGAAAGCCUGAUGCAGCAACGCCGCGUGAGUGAUGAAGGUCUUCGGAUUGUAAAGCUCUGUCUUUUGGGACGAUAAUGACGGUACCAAAGGAGGAAGCCACGGCUAACUACGUGCCAGCAGCCGCGGUAAUACGUAGGUGGCGAGCGUUGUCCGGAUUUACUGGGGCGUAAAGGGUGCGUAGGCGGAUGUUUAAGUGAGAUGUGAAAUACCCGGGCUUAACUUGGGUGCUGCAUUUCAAACUGGAUAUCUAGAGUGCAGGAGAGGAGAAUGGAAUUCCUAGUGUAGCGGUGAAAUGCGUAGAGAUUAGGAAGAACACCAGUGGCGAAGGCGAUUCUCUGGACUGUAACUGACGCUGAGGCACGAAAGCGUGGGUAGCAAACAGGAUUAGAUACCCUGGUAGUCCACGCCGUAAACGAUGAGUACUAGGUGUAGGAG
rnacentral:rRNA from 1 species